GACGAACGCUGGCGGCGUGCUUAACACAUGCAAGUCGAACGGAAAGGCCCUGCUUUUGUGGGGUGCUCGAGUGGCGAACGGGUGCGUAACACGUGAGUAACCUGCCCUUGACUUUGGGAUAACUUCAGGUAACUGGGGCUAAUACCGGAUCGGAGCCCCUGUUGCAUGGUGGGCGUUGGAACUUUUGGGCUUUAGGGGUUGAAUGCGCGGCUUACGGGCUUGUUGGUGGGGUAGGUGCUUACCCACGCUUUGGCGGGUACCCGGCCUGGGAGGGUGACCGGCCACAAUGGGACUGAGAUACGGACCAGAGUCCUACGGGAGGCAGCAGUGGGGAAUAUGGCACAAUGGGCGGAAGCCUGAGGCGGAAACGCCGCGGGCGGGAUGACGGCCUGUGGGGUGUAAACCGCUUUCGGCUGUGACGAAGCGUGAGUGACGGUAAUGGGUAAAGAAGCACCGGCUAACUACGUG
rnacentral:rRNA from 1 species